rnacentral:rRNA from 1 species
AGAGAGAGACAUGCGCGCAUAUCAAUAAGCGGAGGAAAAGAAACUAACAAGGAUUCCCUUAGUAACGGCGAGUGAAGCGGGAAGAGCUCAAAUUUGAAAUCUUCAAGGUUUUACCUUGACGAAUUGUAGUUUAAAGAAGUGUUUUCUGCUGAAGUUUUGGUAAAAGUUCUUUGGAAUAGGACAUCAUAGAGGGUGAGAAUCCCGUAUUUGACCAUUAUUUUCAGCUUUGUGAUACACUUUCAAGGAGUCGGAUUGUUUGGGAAUGCAGUCCAAAAUGGGUGGUAAAUUUCAUCUAAAGCUAAAUAUUGGCGAGAGACCGAUAGCGAACAAGUACCGUGAGGGAAAGAUGAAAAGAACUUUGAGAAGAGAGUUAAACAGUACGUGAAAUUGUCAAAAGGGAAGCGUUUGACACCAGUGUUGUUUUCUCGAAAAUCAAUUAAAAAUGGCUCGAUUUUGUAUUGUUGAGACCUUAAAAGCUCACUGUACAUUUUUCGUGUCUUUUUUAAUGCACUUUUCGUUUAACAAGUCAACAUCAGUUUCCUUUGUUGUAAAAGGGUCAUUGGAAGGCGGCUUUCUUUUCGGAGAAAGUGUUUAUAGCCUUUGGCCUCUGCAAUCGGAGAGAUUGAGGUCUGCAGCGUAGACUCCUUCGGGGUUAGAUACAUUUGUGCUAAGUUAUAGCCUUUUCAUAGACAACUUGUUGACUAUAAUCAGUCAUGUAGCUUACUCGCUUAGUGCUAUUUUACCUACGCUUAGGAUGUUGAAGAUGUAGCACAUCAU